CGUUAUUCGGUAAUGACUGGGCGUAAAGCAGUUGCGUAGGCGGCAUGUUAAGCAUGUAGUGAAAUUUUGGGGCUCAACCCUGAAACUGUUACAUGAACUGACAAGCUAGAGUAUAUGAGGGGAGCUUAGAAUUCCUAGUGUAGGAGUGGAAUCCGUAGAUAUUAGGAGGAAUACCAAUGGCGUAGGCAGAGUUCUGGCAUAUUACUGACGCUAAGGCACGAAAGCGUGGGGAGCAAACAGGCUUAGAUACCCUGGUAGUCCACGCCGUAAACGAUGGAUGCUAGCUGUUUGGGGUAUCGACCCCCUGAGUAGCGAAGCUAACGCGUUAAGCAUCCCGCCUGGGGAGUACGGUCGCAAGAUUAAAACUCAAAGGAAUUGACGGGGACCCGCACAAGCGGUGGAGCGUGUUGUUUAAUUGGAUGAUAAGCCAAGAACCUUACCCAGGUUUGACAUCCUCCGAAUUUCUGGGAAACCAGAGAGUGCUUUUAGAACGGAGUGACAGGUGCUGCAUGGCCGUCGUCAGCUCGUGUCGUGAGAUGUUGGGUUAAGUCCCGCAACGAGCGCAACCCUUGUGUUUAGUUGNAUUUUUCUAAACAGACUGCCUCGGUMACGGGGAGGAAGGAGGGGAUGAUGUCAGGUCCGUAUUGCCCUUACACCUGGGGCUACAAACACGCUACAAUGGCCAGUACAAUGGGCAGCUAAAUCGCGAGAUGGAGCAAAUCCCACCAAAGCUGGUCUCAGUUCGGAUAGAAGGCUGAAACUCGCCUUCUUGAAGCCGGAAUCGCUAGUAACCGUAGGUCAGAACACUACGGUGAAUACGUUCCCGGGUCUUGUACACACCGCCCGUAAGGGCG
rnacentral:rRNA from 1 species